rnacentral:rRNA from 1 species
AGAGUUUGAUCCUGGCUCAGGAUGAACGCUGGCGGCGUGCUUAACACAUGCAAGUCGAGCGAAGCACUUAAGUUUGAUUCUUCGGAUGAAGACUUUUGUGACUGAGCGGCGGACGGGUGAGUAACGCGUGGGUAACCUGCCUCAUACAGGGGGAUAACAGUUAGAAAUGACUGCUAAUACCGCAUAAGACCACGGUACCGCAUGGUACAGUGGUAAAAACUCCGGUGGUAUGAGAUGGACCCGCGUCUGAUUAGGUAGUUGGUGGGGUAACGGCCUACCAAGCCGACGAUCAGUAGCCGACCUGAGAGGGUGACCGGCCACAUUGGGACUGAGGCACGGCCCAGACUCCUACGGGAGGCAGCAGUGGGGAAUAUUGCACAAUGGAGGAAACUCUGAUGCAGCGACGCCGCGUGAAGGAUGAAGUAUUUCGGUAUGUAAACUUCUAUCAGCAGGGAAGAAAAUGACGGUACCUGACUAAGAAGCCCCGGCUAACUACGUGCCAGCAGCCGCGGUAAUACGUAGGGGGCAAGCGUUAUCCGGAUUUACUGGGUGUAAAGGGAGCGUAGACGGCACGGCAAGCCAGAUGUGAAAGCCCGGGGCUCAACCCCGGGACUGCAUUUGGAACUGCUGAGCUAGAGUGUCGGAGAGGCAAGUGGAAUUCCUAGUGUAGCGGAGAAAUGCGUAGAUAUUAGGAGGAACACCAGUGGCGAAGGCGGCUUGCUGGACGAUGACUGACGUUGAGGCUCGAAAGCGUGGGGAGCAAACAGGAUUAGAUACCCUGGUAGUCCACGCCGUAAACGAUGACUGCUAGGUGUCGGGUGGCAAAGCCAUUCGGUGCCGCAGCUAACGCAAUAAGCAGUCCACCUGGGGAGUACGUUCGCAAGAAUGAAACUCAAAGGAAUU